GUAUUCCUUCCUCUAUGGGCACGGAUGUGAUAUAGCGCCAACAAAUAAAAACAAAUAAUCUGAAACAUCAAACCAACUUGCAUUUCCAAAUGGACCAUUCACACGACAGCAUGGAUGUUCUGUAUGAAUCUACUCUACCUACUGGGCGCUCAUCGCAAACAAAAUCGUUUCUUUUGUUCAAUUUAUUAACAUAGACAAAAAUAUAUUCUUAUAAUUAAAAAAGAAGUUCCUAUGAAGCCAAGAUACAACUUAAACCAGUGCGGAUCCAACAAAUUUUGUAGCAAAUACUAGCUGUUUGUUGCUGUUCCCCGUGUAGUUGAUCCAAUCACAAAAGAAAUUCUUUACAAUCCAAAAUGAAAAAAUAUUUACACCUGUGCAAGGUACCGAGAUACCAAACCAAACAAACCAAGAAUGUGCAGCCAACAAAAAUACACUUGAUGGCAUCUGAAGGAAGCGCAUAUAAAUUCAAUUCGAGAAUGAGAGACAAUGUUAAGAAUUUUCGAAUUUUCGAGGCUGACUCGCACUUGUAUUCUUUUUUGCUUUGAUAGGAAAGUGAAAAUGGGUACUAUUUAUUCUCGUUCUCGUACUCUAGAAGCCUUCUUGCUCUUAUUCGUGGAACUAGUCCUCUACGAACAUGACGGUGUAAAAACUAAGAAAAAAAAAAAUUAAAAAUAUGAAUUCUUGUGUUUCUGUUUAAAUUCAACAGAAAAAAACUUACAUCUUAUUCGUUUCUGUCUUCAAACAAUCAAUAACAUGACUUAUUCCCAGUAAAUUAAUACCCCUUCAAGCAAGAAAACGGAGUCCAGAAAAGACAGUCCGACCUCCGACCGAGAAAAGGGGGGUUGCACUCACACACUUGCAACUUUUUGUGUAUGAACACAAAGUCUAAGAGAAUCGUGGUGAAAACUGAGAAAAGGAAAAAAAAGUAGACAGACAUAGCCAACAAGAGCAAAAGCGUCAUUUUGUUAUUUUUUGUUGAAGUGUUUAGUCGCGUCGUGUCUCGUGUCGUUGUUAAUAAAAUAUAAGUAUAAUUAUAAACAAUUAUAUCAAACUAUUAACAAUAUGAAACAAAAAAAGAUGUAAUCUCUAAUGAUGAAGAAAAAGGCAGAAGGUGAAACAUGCGAUUGGGCAUCUAAAGAAACACCAACAACAGCAGCAACAACAAAUAAAAUAAAAUGAAAAAAAUGUAUUGUAUUUUAUAUUGUAUAUAUUGUGAAAAUUUCGUUUGCCAAAAUUAAAUAAAAAAAAAACAG